AGCUGCACUUUGUUAGCGUUGUAUAGUGUCUUAAUGUAUGUAACACAACAUGGACUCCAAAAUGCCAGUCAGGAUGAUUGUGAAUAUUGUUAGUAGUGAAAAAUAAAGCCUGCUUUAAAAAUAUACACAUUAUCAUGAAAAAAAGAACAAACUAACAUUGCUUCCUUUGUUUAUAUUUAUUCACCUUUUAAUUAUGCAGAAAUUACCUAAGGAUAUUUAUUCUGAAUUUAAUUAACAUUGUUAUAUUUUCUUUGACUAAAUAAAGGUGUGUGUGCGAUCCAUGAUGAAAUUUAAAAAAUAAAAAAUAUAUAUAUAUUCAUCUCUUAACAAAAAAGUGAUUCCAAGAAAUAUAUAUAUAUAUAUAUAUUGUGAUGCUUAUCAAGAUAAUAUUGUGAUUAUUCUGGACAUUACAUUUUAAUAUUGCCUCAGGCCUACUCUGUACUAACUGAAUAUGUUUCCUGACAUUUGUAUUUAAAUUGAGUUGUAUCCUAAUCAUUUUCUCGUUGGUUUAACACUGUGAUAAAUUCUACAUUAAUUCAUUUUUAAUUCCAAUAAACAUUCAAACCUAUACCUACAAUUUGGCUAGAAAUGGAGAGUGAUGGAAAAGCUCAAUGUUAAAAAUAAAAAUAAGUUAAUUCUUGACAAUGGAAACCUUGAAAAGAAUGAUCUUAACUCGAGGUCCACUAACUGGACCCUCGUGCAUUACCAAAGACCACAGGCUCCAGAAACAGCUAGUGAGUAACCUUGAGUUAAGAUUAUUAAGUCAAACGUUAAGUCAUCCUUUCUUAUUACUAAUUUGCGUUAAAACAUUAUCAAAUGUGUAUUUAAAACAGUUCUUAAGAAUGCAACUGUUACAAUCCAACACAAUAAUCAUCAAAGAUGUCUAAUGAACCCUGUUAAUGGUGACGUUUUUAAAUGCAGGGGUCCUACGGGCGAAUAUUUGUUAUAUUUUUGAAUUAUUACCAACAUUUCACUUCAUACAUACUGUGAAUAUACAUUAUUUAUGUUUUGUUCAUGUGAUCAGACAACACUGACUUUAAUAAAUCGAUUAAUGUAUUAAAAACAACAGAUUGUAAUUCAUAUUAUAUGUAAAGUGAACACAUUGAUCGUCAGGACAGAAAUAACAUUCUCAUAUAAUAAAAUACAUAAACAUGUACUGCUUCCUCCCACUAAAGCCAAACUCCUGCUGUACUUCCAACACUAACAAUGAUGUAUCGUCAGCUUCAGGGUUCAUUUCAGGUCUUUGUUGUCUAGCUUCCUGUCACAAGGUGGCAUUACAGCGUGUCUGUGGUGUGUGUUGGGUGGUGCAAUAUAACACCACCCAACAAAAAAACAUGUUUCCUGAUGGGAGGGUCUACAGCAAUAUUUAGUAAUAACUGUGAUAAUACAGUGAUAAAAACACAAUAACAAGGAUGUUGAGUCAUAAAACACAACAACAGGGUGACCACUGUCUUCUGCUUAGCCCUUAAUGUCAUAAUGGUGCCAGGCUCUUCUCUCAGUGAGCAAGUACACCAGACUCCAGCUGACAUGUACAACAAACCUGAAGAAAAAGCCACAAUAAGCUGCUCACACAGCAUUCAGAACUACAAUCAAAUCCUCUGGUACAAACAAUCGAGGGAUGAAAAACUGCAGUUCCUGGGAUACAUGUAUAUAACCUCCACAUACCCAGAGGCUGGACUGGAUGUGAAGAUGGACGGGAGUGCAGAAAAAGACCAAACCUGCACAUUAACAGUUGAAGGACUCAGCCUGAAGAGCAGUGCAGUGUACUUCUGUGCUGCUAGUUUACACAGUGCUUCACUUCACUGCUCCUCGGUGGCAGUACAUCUGACUGGUGUUGGAGUUGACAUGAAAUCAGAGAUGAACUGCAGCCACAACAAGGAUGACGGUCUCAACCACAUGUUCUGGUACAGACAGCGUCCUGGGAGACCAUGACCCUCGUGGUGUACACAGUUUUUGGUGGACUAUGGGGGGCUGUGAAAGACUUGCAGCUCGAGGACAGCGGUGUGUAUUUCUGAGCAAACACAGUGAUGUGAGAAGUAAGAUGUACAGUAGGUGGAGCUGGAGCUGCAGAAACACUCAACACUGACAUUUAAUGGAGCUGGUUGACAGAGGAGGGCCUUGAUAAAAGAGUCUAGUAAACUGUAAGUCAGGUGUUCUGUGUUCAUUCAGACUGGAGGUCAACAUGCCAACAUUAUUCUACUUAUCUUGGAUCAUUCAUGAAGGAAUUAUCAUUGUAUCCAUAGUUUCCACACGGUUUACUCAUUCUCUGCUGCUCUUGGUUUGAUGCCGUCGUCUCUGCCAGUGAUGCUGUUUCAUCUGCACUUUCAGACCUCAGGAGAGGAAUCAGUUGGAUCUGCGUUGCUCACAGUGACUUUAAUCUGAAUGUCAGCAACUUAAACUUCCAAAACUUUAUGAUAACUACUUUUACUAUUUAAAGGCUUUUUAGUAACCGCUUUAUUUUGAGGAAGUCCAAAUGAUCCAUUUUCUUUUUUUAUGUUGCCUAGCAGGUAAAACUAGUUAAAAUACAAUUGGCUAUUAUGAAGGUGAAAAGGGCUUAAUUUACAUGUUUAACCUGUAGCGAUGCACUAUUUAAUUUCUCCGUCCAGGUGGUUGUCUGGGUCUCGAUGUCCGUCAGUCUCCCUCUGAUCUCAUCUCAAAGCCUGGGGUCAAAGUGCAGAUGUU